UUUCAACAACGGAUCUCUUGGCUCUCGCAUCGAUGAAGAACGCAGCGAAAUGCGAUAAGUAAUGUGAAUUGCAGAUUUCAGUGAAUCAUCGAAUCUUUGAACGCACCUUGCGCUCCUUGGUAUUCCGAGGAGCAUGCCUGUUUGAGUGUCAUGAAAUUCUCAAAGCCUUGAUGGGUUUCUGUGCCCAUUUGAGGCCUUUGGAUGUGGAGUGUGCCGCCCACCUGCAAAGGGAAGGGCUGGCUCCUCUUCAAAUGCAUUAGUGAAGUCCCCCAGUGGAUUGGCUUUGGUUUGAUAACUAUCUAUGCCUCUGCCUUGAAGCGACUCCACCUGGAGGGGGUGAAGCCUUUGCUUAUAAACUGUCUCAUGUGUGAGACAAGAAUCUUACUUGACAAUUUUGACCUCAAAUCAGGUAGGGUUACCCGCUGAACUUAAGCAUAUCAAUAAGCGGAGGAAAAGAAACUAACAAGGAUUCCCCUAGUAACUGCGAGUGAAGCGGGAAAAGCUCAAAUUUAAAAUCUGGCAGCUCUGCUGUCCGAGUUGUAAUCUAGAGAAGCGUCUUCCGCG
rnacentral:rRNA from 1 species